rnacentral:rRNA from 1 species
GAACCUGCGGAGGGAUCAUUACCGAGUUUACAACUCCCAAACCCAAUGUGAACCAUACCAAACUGUUGCCUCGGCGGGGUCACGCCCCGGGUGCGUCGCAGCCCCGGAACCAGGCGCCCGCCGGAGGGACCAACCAAACUCUUUCUGUAGUCCCCUCGCGGACGUUAUUUCUUACAGCUCUGAGCAAAAAUUCAAAAUGAAUCAAAACUUUCAACAACGGAUCUCUUGGUUCUGGCAUCGAUGAAGAACGCAGCGAAAUGCGAUAAGUAAUGUGAAUUGCAGAAUUCAGUGAAUCAUCGAAUCUUUGAACGCACAUUGCGCCCGCCAGUAUUCUGGCGGGCAUGCCUGUCCGAGCGUCAUUUCAACCCUCGAACCCCUCCGGGGGUCCGGCGUUGGGGAUCGGGAACCCCUAAGACGGGAUCCCGGCCCCGAAAUACAGUGGCGGUCUCGCCGCAGCCUCUCAUGCGCAGUAGUUUGCACAACUCGCACCGGGAGCGCGGCGCGUCCACGUCCGUAAAACACCCAACUUCUGAAAUGUUGACCUCGGAUCAGGUAGGAAUACCCGCUGAACUUAAGCAUAUCAAUA